AAGUCGUAACAAGGUUUCCGUAGGUGAACCUGCGGAAGGAUCAUUAUCGUGGGGCUCCGGCCCUGUCGAGAUAGAACCCCUGCCUUUUUCGAGUACCGCCCGUAUCCCUCGGCAGGCUAGCCCGCCCGUAGGGACCCCAACAAAACCCUUUCGUACUUGCAAUUGUCUGAGAAACAAACAAAUAUCAAAA
rnacentral:misc_RNA from 1 species